rnacentral:misc_RNA from 1 species
UCCGGUUUGGCACCGGCAGUCUCCUAUGAGUCCCCGGCAUUACCCGCUGGCAACAUAGAACAGGGGUUGCGCUCGUUGCGCCACUUAAGGCAACACCUCACGGCACGAGCUGACGACAGCCGUGCAGCACCUGUGCAGGCUCCCGAAGGAGCCCCGGCUUUUCCCAUAAUGUCAAACCCAGGUAAGGUUCUUCGCGUUGCAUCGAAUUAAGCCACAUGCUCCGCCGCUUGUGCGGGCCCCCGUCAAUUCCUUUGAGUUUUAGCCUUGCGGCCGUACUCCCCAGGCGGGGCACUUAAUGCGUUAGCUACGGCACGGAACCCGUUGAUAGAGCCCCACACCUAGUGCCCAACGUUUACGGCGUGGACUAC